ACUGCUCUCAUAAUUACAGCUCCAACUUCCUGCUUCAUCGUCUCAGCUCACAAUGGAGGAGGCAGCUUUUGAUAAUCCAGCAGAUCGCUUGUUAAUAUCGGUCAACUCCAUUUGUCUGUAUGUUAGCUUGACUGGCGUUCAGAAAGGUAUUCGAGGACGUGGUAUUAAAGUGCAGCCGGUGAUGGAGGACACGUUUUCUGGCAGAUUCACUGUCCAUUACAGAACCUGUUCUUGUAAAAACGCUGUCGACUUUUAUUACAGCAGUGUGAGAUGAGAUAGUUUAUUACCCACCUCUCUGUAAGAUUAAUCGUGUCCAAAUAUGGAUUUAGACUGAUGCUGCAAACACACCCUUGUUAUCAUUUAUUUUUCCUCAGGCCUCUGUGAGUGCGUCUACUGGCUUUAUUAGCAUUUUCAGCGUUAUUACAGAAGGUCUGUGUGGGCACGCAGGGCCUUUGAACAUGCAAUAAUCUCCAGUUAUCGGAUAAGAACGUUUCUCCAAUAUUUACUCUCUUUCAUUAAAUGAUUGAUAUAUGUGGCUACUGAGCUGCCAGUAUGUCACUGUGUCCACCUGCUAGUUUCUAACUUUGCGCUAAAAAGAGUCUGAUGAAUAUCAUAAUAUUGAUUCUGUCUGCUUUAAGAACUACAGACCUUUAAAUAUAUAUCCAGAGACAAAAAAAAACACUUGUGAAAACAUGACUACAAUGCAACCGAAACCAAAGACCAAAAGACCAAC